AGCUUAAUCGACAGUUGCAAAAGCCCACUGAGCUCCUUGGAUGAAAGGCACUACAUAAGAGGAGCCUGAUCCUCCAAUGCCCUGCACCUGGUAUAGACAUUAAACUGCGCAACUGUGUGUAAAGUGCUAUCCGUUCAGGAUUCUCCGCUCACGCACACCAGUGGCCGUCUGUUUCUGAACCCCCUUUGCAUUGAUGUCAGUGACAACCCAAGGUGCAAGGGAGGGUAGAAUCAGGACCAUGAAGAGGGUCAGGACGGGGUGAAAGAAGUGGCAGAGAGACUGAGAAAGGAGAGGAAAAUGGACAGAGAGAGGACCUGGGGUCAAGAAAACAAGAAGGCAAAAGAGGAAGAAGAUGGGCAAAGAAGUGGGGAAAAUCAAUGCCUAGAAGUCCGAAGCAUUUUUUCUUGUAACAGUAUUUCAUGUUGAGUUCUAAUGUGUAAAGCCUGGGAGGGAGGAGAAGCGAAGCUGCAGCACGCUCAUGGAGGAGGUGGAGCAGAGAACAUUGAUCCAGAAGCAUUCAAGAUCAUUCUGUUUUGUGUUAUCAGUGACUCAGAACCAGUUUAAUGCCCUCCUGACUACUCUAGCUAGCCUACUGAGCUGGAGGCCAUCCGAAGUAUCCAGCCCCUUCUUCCUAUAGAAGGUGGACCAAUGUUUUACAAAACCAAAACCCUCCACCACAGACCAUUUACCUAGCCAGCAGUUCACUUCCAGAAUCUUGUGCCUUCUGUCUGUCUUCACUUAUGGGACAAGAAGAAUCUCCAAGAAGAUCGCUUGGAUGUUCUUCUUCAGCAUGCUUCCAAGUUCUCUGAAGUCAUCUACCAUCGGAUAGAUGUCCUGCGAUACCAUGUCAUUAGUGCCGAUAUGAACCAUCACCAAUGGAUCCUUUCCUGUCAACUUCAAAAGUCUAUAGAAUCUUAGAGUGAUGUCUUGCUUCUGGGAAGGCAGAAGAUUGUCCUGUUGUCUGCCUGUCUCUUGCGGAGCAUUCCUUCGAUUCUUCUGAGUAUUAAAUCCCCCACAAGAAUCAUCUGUCUUCCUUGGAGAGUUGGAGAACUCUUUGUGGACAAGCUUGAUUUUUCUUGAUUUUUCCCAUUCUCCAAAAACCAAACUUUCCAAUAAAACCCUUUUUGAACCAGUUCUAUUAUUUACAAAAUAGAGGUCAGAAAAGCCUUGUGCCCCAAGGAGUUUACAAAACA